rnacentral:rRNA from 1 species
UACAGAGGUGGCAAGCGUUGUUCGGAAUUACUGGGCGUAAAGGGCGCGUAGGCGGUCUUGUAAGUCUCGUGUGAAAUCCCUCGGCUUAACCAAGGAAGUGCAUCCGAAACUGCAGUGCUUGAGUACUUAAGAGGAUCGCGGAAUUCCCGGUGUAGAGGUGAAAUUCGUAGAUAUCGGGAGGAACACCAGUGGCGAAGGCGGCGAUCUGGGAAGAUACUGACGCUGAGGUGCGAAAGCGUGGGGAGCAAACAGG